rnacentral:rRNA from 1 species
UACGUAGGUGGCAAGCGUUGUCCGGAUUUAUUGGGUUUAAAGGGUGCGUAGGCGGUUCAAUAAGUCAGUGGUGAAAUACGGCAGCUCAACUGUCGAGGUGCCAUUGAUACUGUUGGACUUGAGUACAGACGAGGUAGGCGGAAUUGACGGUGUAGCGGUGAAAUGCUUAGAUAUCAUCAAGAACACCGAUAGCGAAGGCAGCUUACUAGGCUGUAACUGACGCUGAGGCACGAAAGUGUGGGGAGCAAACAGG